rnacentral:rRNA from 1 species
CCUACGGGUGGCAGCAGUGGGGAAUAUUGGACAAUGGGCGAAAGCCUGAUCCAGCCAUGCCGCGUGUGUGAAGAAGGCCUUCGGGUUGUAAAGCACUUUCAGUGGGGAAGAAAGCCUUGGGGCUAAUACCCUCGAGGAAGGACAUCACCCACAGAAGAAGCACCGGCUAACUCAGUGCCAGCAGCCGCGGUAAUACGGAGGGUGCGAGCGUUAAUCGGAAUUACUGGGCGUAAAGCGCGCGUAGGCGGUCUGAUAAGCCGGUUGUGAAAGCCCCGGGCUCAACCUGGGAACGGCAUCCGGAACUGUCAGGCUAGAGUGCAGGAGAGGAAGGUAGAAUUCCCGGUGUAGCGGUGAAAUGCGUAGAGAUCGGGAGGAAUACCAGUGGCGAAGGCGGCCUUCUGGACUGACACUGACGCUGAGGUGCGAAAGCGUGGGUAGCAAACAGGAUUAGAUACCCGAGUAGUC